rnacentral:lncRNA from 1 species
CGUGGCCGCCUCCCUGCGGGCUGGUCCCGGUUGAAGCCAGCUCUUAGAGGUCUCGUUCCUAGAGGAUCACGCUUCUCCGAACUUGGCCGUCGGCCUGCGCGGUGAGAUGGGUGCGGGGACUAAAGGGGGCCUGACAGGAAACUGCGGGGCCGAAGCCGGGAAAUGGCUUGUCCGGGUGAUAAGCUGAGGCCGCCCAGAAGGGUCAGCCCCGCGGCUGGGCCGGAAAGGAGGCGUGACGAAACGUGGAGCGCCCGCGGGGGACUGCGAGCGCUGGCUCUCCUCCCCACCCCGAGCAGGCUGUGCAGCGGACUCUACCUUCCCGCGCUCUGCUGGCGUGUGCUGUAACGUGGGUUCCUUUAAAUGGGCUUUGCGUUUCUGCGGCGAUCUCAGAACUGCCUCGCCCGCCCCUGGGCCCCGCAGCGUCAGGCGCUAAGGAUCUGCCACCCUCUGGAAACAGGAGGAUGCUCUGUAAAGUGUGCCGCGAGUCCUGAGAGCGGUCCCCUCGAAAGUACUUACCUCUAGGAAAGUCUAGAAAGCGAGGAGCCAAACUGAUUUGCUCUUCCAGUGAGGGCUGUUUUUUCCGAAGCGCUUCUUGCCAGUUGGGUACAAAAUGAGUAAGGUGGACCCGAACAGACCUUAGUAGGUGAUCUGGAGCUCUGUGAUAGGUGUUAGUCGUCAGGGAGGUCACUCCCGUAUGGCUGUAGCGCGCUUUUUAAGCCAUUGUGUCUUGUACGUGAGCUCAGCCACAUUCACAUUCAGUCGCCUACA